UACGUAGGGACCGAGCGUUGUCCGGAUUCAUUGGGCGUAAAGAGCUCGUAGGCGGUCACUCAAGUCGAAUGUGAAACCUCGAGGCUUAACCUCGAGCCUGCAUUCGAUACUGGGCGGCUAGAGUCUGGUAGGGGGAUCUGGAAUUCCUGGUGUAGCGGUGAAAUGCGUAGAUAUCUGGAGGAACACCGGUGGCGAAGGCGGCGUUCUGGACUGCAACUGACACUGAGAAACGAAAGCCAGGGGAGCAAACGGG
rnacentral:rRNA from 1 species